GGAUUUUGUUAUCUAUUUGGGAUCCCCAGAGAUUCCAUAUGAAUGGAUGAAGUUUUGCUCUGUCCCCAAGCUGGAAUGCAGUGGUGCAAUCUUGGUUCACUGCAACCUCUGCCUCCCAGGUUCAAGCGAUUCUCCUGUCUCAGCCUCCUGAGUAGCUGGGAUUACAGGUGCAUGCCACCAUGCCCAGCUAAUUUUUAUAUUUUUAGUAGAGACUGGGUUUCACCAUGUUGGCCAGGCUGGUCUCGAACUCCCGACCUCAGGUGAUCCGACUGCCUCAGCCUCCCAAAGUGCUGGGAUUACAAGCAUGAGCCACUGCGCCCAGACUUAAUGAUCAUUCUUUAACAGCCCUUUCUUGAUUUGUGUGUUUGUAUGUGUGUGUGUGUGUGCGUGGGUGUGAAUGUAAUGCAUGUAGUGGAGGUGUUUCUUAUAUAUUAUUUUUCCUUUUCCUUUUUUCUUAUGUCUAUUACUACUCCAUUUUAUAACAUUUAUAUUCUAUAUUAGCAAAAUUGUUAUCUCAAAUUUAAUGUUUGUAAGGUUCUUGUCACUAACCAAUCUAUCUUUAUAGUUUCUCUGUCAGCAGUUUUUUUUUAUAACAGAGUUAUUUACUUUUUUAUUCAUGCUUCUUUUCAUUCAUCAUCUUUUGGUGUGUUUCUCUCUGUAGUGGAUAUCAUGUUUGCUCAUCGUUUGAAAUGUCUUGUUAUAUAUAACAUUUGUAAGAAACAUGUUGAAAUUUUAUGCUCACAUUUUCAAGCUGCAUUUCAAGCUCUUUCUCUUGGUCUGUAAUAAUCAAUUUAUAAGGUUAUUUCAUUCACAAACUAAACUUAAAAAAUUCUGAUAUGGCAUGCUUGUUCAUUUGUAUGUCUGGAUUCUGGUCAUACUUACUCUUUAUUUUUAUUUGUACACAUAAAUUAUACUUCAUGAAUAUAUAUUUUCAUUCAUUAAGAAUAAAUAAAACAUUAAUAAAUCAGCAUUCUCUUACUUUCAAAGGA
rnacentral:lncRNA from 10 species